CAAGAUGACAAAAGUUGUUUCUCAUCAUGCAGAGAGUGAAAAUCAAAAGCAUGCUCAUCAAUAUCAUCAACAUCAACAUACCUAUCAACAACAUAAUCAUCAACAACAUAAUCAAUAAUAGGUAUGUCUACCUCCACUUCCCUGAAAAUUGGUUGAGUGGUGGAAGGUGAAGUUGGUCUACCUAUCUCAAAAGUGGUACUCAUGUCAGCCUGGUCCUCAAAUUCUUCAUCAAUCUCCUCAAGUGCAAGACUGGGGACAUAAGAGUGUGGCAAAGUAGGUGGCACAACACUAA
rnacentral:lncRNA from 1 species